UUUGGGAAGUCUUGAGAAGGGUAAACCUGCAGGCUCCCUGGCCACUUAAUAGGAGGCUGUUAAUGUAGCUGGAGCUGUCAGCUCACAUUUGGUGUUGGGUAUGAUCGUGCAGGGACUGAAAAGAAGCGAAGAGUAUAUCUGCGUGAGGACUCUCUGUUUAUCUUGGAUUUGUCACAUGACAUUUAGUGGACAAAGAAACUCAUGUUACAAUAGAAUAUGGCAGGCCUUUGCCAGGAGGAAGAAGCUUGGAGAAGAGUCCACCUCCUUUUCUGAUGAAGAGCUAAUUGCAACCAACAGAUGGGAGAGCUAAUUGAUGCUAAGCCGUCUCAUUUUGGCUGGCCUGCAGAAGGGGACUGGAUGAUCUAUGAGGACCGCUGUGCCUUUGAUAGG